CCUUCCCGGAGGGAGCACGGCUUGGGGACUGGGUGGAUUGUGUGUUUUUACGGUGCUGCGUGGAUGGCGCGUGUGGGCUGAGUGAAUGGACGCGCGAAUGCGUGAGUGUGCGCAUGAGGCGUGCAAGACGAGUGUGAGCGCCCUUCCCUGAGCCCCUCCCCCCGCCUACACCUUGAUCUUAUUUGAUCGGGUUGAGACCGUAGCCCCGCCGGGCCAACCCGAGAUGAAAAGCUCUCCUCCUGCGAAGCCCCGUCCUCGGGGCUGUGUGCAGCGAGGCCCCUUGGGCGGCGGCAACGCCGCGGUCCCGGAGCUGGUCUUAACGGGGCCCGGCGCUCAGAAGUGAUGAAUUGAUCAGAUAGACGAGGCCGGGCUUGUCUCGGGCCGCUGAUUAUCGAGGCGAUUCUGAUCUGA
ensembl:snoRNA small Cajal body-specific RNA 2